UCCUGGUUUCCCAGGCAGUCCCGCCAGAGUGCCUCCCGAAGGAGUAGCAACUGGCAGCAAGAGUUGCGCUCGUUAAAGGACUUAACCCAACAUCUCACGACACGAGCUGACGACAGCCAUGCAGCACCUGUGCAUCUGUUCGAACCGAAGCCCGAAAAGCUGUAUUUCUACAGCGGUCAAAUGCAUGUCAAGCCCAGGUAAGGUUCCUCGCGUAGUGUCGAAUUAAACCACAUGUUCCACCGCUUGUGCGGACCCCCGUCAAUUCCUUUAAGUUUUAGUCUUGCGACCGUACUCCCCAGGCGGAUCACUUAACGCGUUAGCUACGACACCAAUUUCGCAAAGCGAUACUGACGUCUAGUGAUCAUCGUUUACAGCGUGGACUAC
rnacentral:misc_RNA from 1 species